rfam:Octopus bimaculoides Scaffold30478_contig_14, whole genome shotgun sequence.
UUUUGCUUUGGUAAUACAUAAACUAAAAUUGGAAUGAUACAGAGAAUAUUAGCAUGGCCCCUGCACAAGGAUGACAUGCAAAUUCGUGAAGUGUUCCAUAUUUUU